UCGAUUAAAGAGAAACUAUUCUAAAGAGAAUAAAUUGUCAGUUUAUUUUAUAACUUUAUUUUCUUUUUUCUUUUCUUUUUUUUUUUUUUUUUUUUUUUUUUUUUUUUUACGACGAAUCAAUGUAUUGCUCUUGUUAUUACAGACACGUAUGAUUUAUUUCUAAUUUUCGUAAUACAUACAUCUAUAUACAUGCGGUAGACAUUAACUUUAUGACUUGAGAUUGACUAGAAGUUUUUGUUGCCAUUACAAAACGGCUAUCUCUUCUUUUAAAGAUUCAAUAAAAUUACGAAGAAUUUGUUCUUUUAUCGUAAAACUUAUUCAAUUAUAUUUAGUAUAGAAGACGCUCUCUUUCUCUUUAUCGCUCUCUGUAUUACCGACAAUUACCGACAAUUAUUAUCGACAUUAUUCGACAUUAUCGACGAUUGUAAAUAUAGAAAACGAUUUCAACUCUGUUGGUAAGUUUUAACUAUUUUCUGAAAAAAAAAAAAAUGGAGAAAAAAGAAAUAAUAAAUAAAAAACGAAGUCCUUUGUUUGGUAUACGUAAUUUCAUACGAUGAUCGGAGUAAAAUUCGAAGAUCCUUAUUUUUUUUUUUCUUUUCUUUUUUUUUUUUAACACAGCAUUUUAAAUAUAAUCGAGCAAUGUACGUUCAGUCGACAUCCACGUUCGACGACGAUGGCUGCUAAGUUGGCCUGAGCGCACCGACCAUAUCUCCUAGUAAUCUUUCCACGCUGACGUCACCGACGGUGGGCUUGAAAAGAAGCUCUUGAAGGGUAGAUCGGCACAAUGCACGCGCCGGUGGUAAUAGCAACAAUAAUCGACCGACCCUUCGUGCGUCACGUUCGCACAAAACUGCUACGGUUUGUUCUUGCAACGCGGUAACUCUGCCAGGUUCACAGAGACCUCUCGAUUCUGUGAGACAAAUUAAUCAUAUUUCUUUUUUUCUUUCUUUCUUUCUUUUUUUUUUCCUUUUUCUCUUUCUUUCUUUCCUUUUUUUUUUUUUCUUUGUUUUUUGAAAAUAAAAAAGUAUAAAAAUAUAUUAUAUAUACAAAUAUACGAAGUGGCCUAAAAUUCAGAUAAUAUUUAAUAACUUGAGAUAAUUGUAUGAUACGUAAUGUCGACAUUUUUAAUACAGCAAUAAUUUCUAUUGUUUUGAUUUGAAAAAUCUUUUCUUUCGUUUUUUUUUUGUUUUGUUUUUCGUUUCACGAAUCGUAAAAGAAUUUCUCUACUCUCGUAAUCGUACAUUUUCAAUGAAAAAAAAAAAAAAAAAAACAACAACAAGAAAGAAUAAAGAAUUAAUCCAAAAUAUUGUAGAAAAAGUGUAAUUGAUAUUUCAAAUCUCUUAGGAUCAAUUCGCAAUAAUGAUUUCGACAUUACUUAUCGUUCAAUUCUUAAUUUUUCUUUUUUCUUUUUUUUUUUUUUUCCCAAUAUCACAUUAUCAUAAUAUAUAAUGCGUAUUUAUUAUCAAUGAUAAAUUAUGAAUUGAAUUUUUGUACUUAUCGUUAGACAAUUAUAAUACAAUAAUUAUUUUCAAUGAUUAAACGUACCACCCUUGAAAAGGACGAUGGCUUUCAAACACGCGUAUUCCGAAUGAUCGACCCUUAGCAACGUGCAUUUAGCUAAUAAUUCUCUAAGUCUUCUUGCUUCAUCGAUUAAUAUCUCUCGUCUUUCCGUAGAUAAAUCACCAGGAACCAAAGUACUUUCUUCAACUGGAAAAUUCCAUUGGGCCGCCUGACAGGACUGACGAUUUGUGGAACAAGACGAGUACCACCGACUAAUUCUUCUAAAAAUCAAAAGAAAAAAAUAGAAUAUCAAUUUGAAAUGUUAAGGGUAAUACUUUUAUACAUUAUCUGAAAUAUUUAUUCGAGUCUUAUAUCUAAUAAUAAUAAUAAUAAUAAUAAUAAUAAUAAUGAUAAUAAUAUUUAUAUUAUGAACGAGUUAGACUAUACCAUUUGAUGAAAAUUAAUUAAAAGUAAAUCAAAAUAUAAGUAAUGAAUUAUUUAAUAAAAAUAAUAUUACUUUUAUGGGAGGCUUUUUAAAAGAAAGUGACAAUAAUUUAAAAAAAAAAAAAAAAAAAAAACUUAAUCGCGCAAAUAAAAUAAUCGAAUAAAUAAUAAUAAUAAUAUUAUUAUUAUUAUUAUUAUUAAAAUUAUAUUCUUUCGUCGUUUUUAAUUUACCUUUUUGUUCGAGCCUCGGUUCAACUGUUGCAGCUUCUUCGGAACUCGUUACCUCGUCUUCCUUCGCUGUGCUCACCGAUAAUGAUUCUGUCGAGGUUCUUGGUAAAAAAUGUGCUAAUCAAAAUAAUGAAAAGAAUAAUUUUUUAAUGAUGUCUCUCAUUAUCAAUACUAUUUAUUUUAUCCUAUAAUAAUAAAUAGAUAUCUAUUAUAGUCUUACCAACGGCCGGUGCAAAUGGGGGCAUUGUCGGCUUGAAAGGAAAUAAUGCCGGAUAAAGAAGUGGAUGAUAAGGAUUGUUUGUCGUGUGAUAAACGUGAGGUAGUCCUGGAUAAAGACCAGCUGGAGCUCUUCUUGCAGCAGCCACAAGAUUCGAAGUACUUCUCGGUGCUCUUUCGUGUUGUACCGCUGAAAUCGAUAGGACAAUUUCGAUAAGACACACACACAAAAAAAAAAAAAAAAAAAAAGAAAAAAAAGGGAUAGUACAAAAAAGUUAAACCUAUCCUUUGGUUA